AAUACCUCUGUUUUGAGGGAGCUGAGUAGUUUCUGUUCCUCUGGGCCUUGUAGACCUUUAUGUGCUUACCUGUCUCCCAGACAAAAAGUAGAGGAUUUUUGUCUCAGCCCUUUGUGAAAUGAGGUGCCCAUGGUAUGUUUUGAUGCAGAAGUUGCUAUGUUGAUUCUCCAGGAGUGUUUCUGGGUAAGAGUCUCACUCUCUGGAGCCGUUAGACCCAUCCGUGGAGUGGACCUCAAUCUGAUUUCUGCCUGUAUCRGUUUCCCCUGCAUCUGUGAUGGAAAGUGCACCUGAGCCUGCCAAGGCAGGGGAGCAAGGAGGAACAGUCAGCACCAAACUCCU